UACGUAGGGUGCGAGCGUUGUCCGGAAUUAUUGGGCGUAAAGAGCUCGUAGGCGGUCUGUCACGUCGGAUGUGAAAACUCGGGGCUCAACCCCGAGCCUGCAUUCGAUACGGGCAGACUAGAGUUCGGUAGGGGAGGACUGGAAUUCCUGGUGUAGCGGUGAAAUGCGCAGAUAUCAGGAGGAACACCGGUGGCGAAGGCGGGUCUCUGGGCCGAGACUGACGCUGAGGCGCGAAAGCGUGGGGAGCAAACAGG
rnacentral:rRNA from 1 species